UAUUCCUGAUACUUCCGACGACUAUGCUUCUUCACAGAAGCGUAUCUCGCGUUUGUUUCGCGAGAAGUCGCACAACGCGAUCGAUCGAGUUGCGCUCGAUCCAUAUCGUUUAUAUUAUCUAUGUCUAAAUACGAUUCCGAGUACGUAAUAACGUUAACACUGUGAGUCAUCGACGACGGUUCACGGGCACAUACGCGAUCGCAACCGCGCGUUUGUUUCUGACCCGAACGACUUGUUCCGCUCGAGUUGGACAAUUGCCAAAAUUAUGUAACUCCAUGAUAACGCGGCCACAAGUGCGGUGACUCUGAGGUAAUUAUUUAGAAACGCAAUGUCACUCCCUGCGUUAUCGAUAUAGCGAUGAAUGCAAGAUUGGACAAUGAAAAUUUGAAGAAGGAUAUUUGCGGUAAGGAUCAUGAAUCCUUGGUAUGAUAGAUAUGUACUUAAAGAUAUCCCUAAUACUAUAUAUCGUAUUUUAUAUAAUUUUGUUUUAGAUCUUUUUAACCGGCCACCAAAAAGCGACUGGCAAUCCUUGUUGGUGAGAUCGUCCCUAUUUUGAAUAAUUACCUUCAUUUUAUUUUGUAAUCUACUUUAUACAUUUCAAUUGGAGUAAUGUUUAAUUUUUAUUGUUCGAUAGGUAUGACAGAACGCGGAG